rnacentral:tRNA from 5 species
UGGGGGAUAGUUUAACGGUAGAACUUCCGACUCUGACUCGGACAGUCUUGGUUCGAAUCCAGGUCCCCCAGCCA